UGCCCUUGAGGCGUGGCUUCCGGAGCUAACGCGUUAAAUCGACCGCCUGGGGAGUACGGCCGCAAGGUUAAAACUCAAAUGAAUUGACGGGGGCCCGCACAAGCGGUGGAGCAUGUGGUUUAAUUCGAUGCAACGCGAAGAACCUUACCUGGUCUUGACAUCCACAGAACUUACCAGAGAUGCUUUGGUGCCUUCGGGAACUGUGAGACAGGUGCUGCAUGGCUGUCGUCAGCUCGUGUUGUGAAAUGUUGGGUUAAGUCCCGCAACGAGCGCAACCCUUAUCCUUUGUUGCCAGCGGUUCGGCCGGGAACUCAAAGGAGACUGCCAGUGAUAAACUGGAGGAAGGUGGGGAUGACGUCAAGUCAUCAUGGCCCUUACGACCAGGGCUACACACGUGCUACAAUGGCAUAUACAAAGAGAAGCGACCUCGCGAGAGCAAGCGGACCUCAUAAAGUAUGUCGUAGUCCGGAUUGGAGUCUGCAACUCGACUCCAUGAAGUCGGAAUCGCUAGUAAUCGUAGAUCAGAAUGCUACGGUGAAUACGUUCCCGGGCCUUGUACACACCGCCCGUCACACCAUGGGAGUGGGUUGCAAAAGAAGUAGGUAGCUUAACCUUCGGGAGGGCGCUUACCACUUUGUGAUUCAUGACUGGGGUGAAGUC
rnacentral:rRNA from 1 species